UAAAAGAUGGAUUUUCCCUUGAGCCCUCGGCGCCAAACCCUUGCCUCGCCGUCGCCCUUCCCUCUCCCUCGCCCGAGCACCUCACAGCCGCCAGCCUCCUCUCUUCUCGAGCUCUCACUUAGCGUCGCCGAUCUUCUCCUCCUCGUGCCUCUUGCGACGCCGCCGGCUCUCCUCAUGCGAGCACCAAGACACUGCCGCCUCUCCUCCUCACGCCAGCACUCGAGACGUCACACCACCGCCGGUCACGACGAGCCCCAGCCGCCGAUCUUUCCUCCUCACGCGAGCAGCACAGCGGCGAUUCCUCUCCCUCGCACGAGCACUAUGGACCACAGCCGUUGAUCCUCUUCUCUUCGUGUCGUGCCCUGACUGGUAGUAGGUAGAUGAGUCAUGGAUGCUUGGAGAGAUGCCGGCUGCCAGUCCUGGGUCCUACGUCACACUCGAGGAUAGUUUUCGUUUUGGUUUUGUUAUCGUUUGGGGUGGUAUAAUGAUUUUGUGUAUUCUAUUUUUCAACAAGUCGAUGUGAAUUUUGGGUCAAGUUUGUGAUGACAGAUAUUUUUGUUAGUGUCGUUGUUGGUUUUA